ensembl:rRNA 5S_rRNA 5S ribosomal RNA
GUAUACGGGCAUACCAUCCUGAAUGUGCCUGAUCUCUUCUGAUCUUGGAAACUAAGCAGGUUGGGUCUGGUUAGUACUUGGAUGGGAGGAAACCAUGCUGCUGCAGUAUGCU